UACGUAGGGAGCAAGCGUUGUUCGGAUUUACUGGGCGUAAAGGGCGCGUAGGCGGCGCGGUAAGUCACUUGUGAAAUCUCUGAGCUUAACUCAGAACGGCCAAGUGAUACUGCAGUGCUAGAGUGCAGGAGGGGCAAUCGGAAUUCUUGGUGUAGCGGUGAAAUGCGUAGAUAUCAAGAGGAACACCUGAGGUGAAGACGGGUUGCUAGGCUGACACUGACGCUGAGGCGCGAAAGCCAGGGGAGCAAACGGG
rnacentral:rRNA from 1 species